rnacentral:lncRNA from 9 species
CUACUACAUCAAUCAGACCACAAGGUGCCCUUUCAGGAAAGUAAUGGAGUAUAAUCAACCUAACUUCAUUGAUCUACAAGGACUACUGAAAAUUAUAAAACUUUCUUUGGGAUUCUAACAUGCCAGAAACCACUAGAAAAAGAAGUUUGAUAUCUCAGAGGUUCUCCUCAUCGUGGUAUAGAGACCAAAAUGAUACUUUCAAACUCCCAAGGUCAUUAACUGAGGAAUAAUGCCAUCUGCACCAUGAGAGUCAGUUUUGAACAAGAAAGCCUGACAGGUUUCUCCGGAAAAGUGACCAUCCAUGGAAUGAAUGAAAUGUUCCCUUUCUAUUCCAGUAAGUAAUUGACUUGUAACUAAAAAUUGAACUGGCUGCUAUGUCAACUACAAUGUGAGCGGCUGCUGGCACAGGUGUUGCUUACUCUUUAGCCUGGAAAGAAAAGGGGCUUAACCUGUGAUUAAAUUUAAAGUCAAUUGACCUCAACAUGAGAGUACAUAAUUCUCACUUGCCUAUGGAAUGGCCUGAGUCUGUUUUAACCCCGAUUCUGGCACCUGUGUUUUUAAUGUUUGGAGUAGCUAAAGCUAGAGUUGCUCGUUUGGUUAGAAAUAAAGUGGGUGGAGAACAGUUCUAAGCAAAUAACAAAUGAUGGUCAGCCGACUAAGUCUUUAAUCCAGCGCUCAAUGUGUUCUUUUCUUUUAAUGCAUUAAUUGUAAGUUCGUGUAAAUUAUUAUUCAAACUUUUUUUAAAAAAUAUGGAUUCAUGGGCAACCAUUUUAUUACUAAGGAUACAGAGUAAAUCUAAAUCUGUGAAUUACUAACAAGCAAAGGAUGUGAGAAUGAUGACACUUUCAAAUGCUUAAGUUUGCUUAUGUAACCUAUCACAGGCUUUUUAAAUAAGCCUUGCACUUUAAAGAUUUUCUUAGCCCUAGGAAUGAAAUAGCAAUAUUGUUUUUCCAGGUUUCUGUAAAUUAACAAAAGACUGUUUACUUUUAGCAAGAUGACCUUGUUUGAGUUUUGGAGACAAACAUAUAUCUACUUCUCAAAAGCAAAAUAAAAAUCAAUGACAUCUAAAAUUACCAUUUACACUUGAAGCUAUUCUCCAUGCAUUUUAUGUAAAAUGACUGCAUGCUAAGAAUAAGUCUAUAAGGUGAGAACAGCCUAGACUGUUGUUUUUUCUUUCUCAUUUCCUUUUUAACCUGAGAAUUAGAAGAAAGUACUGAUGAUGCUUGCUUAACCCUGCUUUUAGUGCCAGGCUGUGACCAGCUCUCUGUGAAACCAUUUCUGACCCUCUGCUUGCAGUGGUGAACAUGAAUUUUUCCCCUUCCUUGCCCAUCACUGUCAGUCAAUUAUAGGAUUGAACUGAACCAGAAAAUCUGGUACAGUCUGGUAAUUAGUACAAAGGGUUUCCAGUCUAGUGUAAAGACGGGGAUGCAAGAGCCCCAGCAGUCACAGAAAUCGUUUUGAUUGGCCAUGGACAUUGCCUUUUAGUGCUGCUCGGUGACUUCCUAAAGAUAUUGCCUCCUACCCUACAGGUUUUCUCCUUCAAGUACAUUAUGGACCUUUUCAAAAGUCAUGUGUGUGUGUGUGGUGUGUGUGCGCGUGUGCGUGCGUGCGUGCAUGUGUGUGUGUGUGUGUGUGUGUGUGUAUACGUUUCUUUUUUUAGAUCCAACUUCUCCCAUUUUUAGUCUGUCAUUUUUGCCUAUCAAACAGACACAUUUUGACUUGCCCAACAAAGAACCAAGUUAUCAACACUCACAGAAACUGACAUUUUUAAUUCAGGCUUCAUUAUGUCUUUGAAUUAUGACAGUGAAGUACAAAGACGUUUUAAGAGUUUUUUCAUUAUUUUUUUAAAUCCAGCAUUGGGAUGUUUAUCUUUCUUUAGUAUUCAUAUUUCCUUUUCUAUCUUUAUUCUCAGUAAUAUAUAAUUAGCAUUAUCAAAACCAUCAGCUAUUAUCCUUUAUGACUUUUGACCUUUAUUUUUUAAUAUGUCUCAAGCUAGCAUUCUCUAAAACAAAAAUUCUAUGAGAGAUAUUAACGAAAUAUUUUAGGGUUAUAAAAACAAUGAAAUGAUUUAAAACAUGAAUCUUUUUAAAUAUCAACAUUACAUGAAUAGGCAAGUAACACAUUAUAUGAUAAAACUAUAGUGACAAAAUAAAUUUCAGAAAAAAAUUAUUCUGUAAAUCAAGCUUGCAUUUGGUGGUAAGUGUAACUUUAUAGUCUGUAGUUCAUCACACAUUUUUAACCACUACUAUGGAGUUAUUGGCUUAAUGUCAAUGGUAUUUAUAUACUUUUUGCAGAAAAAGUAAUUUUUUGUACUAAUUACCAGACUGUACCAGAUUUUUUGCAAACAUCCUCUUUGACUAUAGAUUACAAAAACUCAGUAGUCACACAUUAGAUACAACAAAAGUGUUUGGUAGCUUGUCAUUUUAACAAAUGCUGGCCUUCAAAAGAUAGAUAUAAGUACAUCUAAGGGCAAAUUUAAUGUCUGACACUCUGUGCAAAACUGCAAAAGCAACAGUGCCCAAAAUAACAGAAGCAAAAGAAAGCACAAGGUUUUCCAUUUCCAAGAAUGCUAUUCUAGCACAAUCUGCAUCAUGAUUUUAGUCAUGAUGCAUAUGUGCUGUGAAUCUUUUAAAGGAUCAUUUAUUUACCCACAUCUUAAUGUAGCUUUAAAUAUCUGUUUUAUCCUACAUACAAUCUUAACAAAAGUAGUUAUGUUACCAUGUCUGGUACUUAUUUCUACAUGUCUGAAUUUUGCUAUUAAAUUUCAAGAAGGUUAAUAUUGCUUUUGUAACCCUGUCAUGAGUAAUGCAUUUUCCCAGUAAACAUGUCAUACUUUUAAAAGCUGUUCAAGAAGCAGUAUUUCUGUUGAAAGUUUUGUGUUUAUUUCUCUAUUGUUUUUUUAACCAUAAUAUAGUGUAAUGCUUUGAAAAGAAUACGCAUAUUUAUGUAAUUAACAUUUUUUGUUUUCAGCAAAACCUUGCCCAUUAAAAACGAGAAGAGUCUUAGAAAACCAUAUAAAUGGGCAACGUUUCAGUGACAAUAUUUGCAUUCAAUUUUAAUUCACCACCGAGUCUAUAUCUUGAAAUGUAUCUAUAAAGGACUGAAGGAAGAGUACAUUCUGAUAAUAGUUUUAUUUUUUAAUCUAAAAUAUAUGUUGAAAUUCCAAAGGUGCUUGCCACAUGUGGUAUGGCAGUAUUCUAUGUUCCAUUAUAUCUGAAUGCUUUGUGGGUCUGUAUAAUAUUACAGGCUUUAAUAUGGAUAUAAACAUUCUUUUCUACCUCAGCCUUACUCCUAGUGGCAGGAGUAAGGCUUGGGAAAAACUCUAAAGAUUAUCCAGUCUCAUGAUUUUCAAACUGUGUUCCCUUGAGCUCUUAGGCUCUUUGGGGCUACUUAGGGCUGUGGGGGAAGGGAGACCAAUUGGCCUCUUACCUCCUGCCUUUAUCUGCUGUGUCUAUUAGAGCCCCACGUAAAAUUGGAAUCCCAUGAUGGAGGGAAAAAGUAAAAUACUAUUGACUGAGCCUCUCUUACAGAUAAGGAAAGCAGAGUUUACUUAAAGUGGCACUCUGAAUCAGUGACAACCAACCACUUGUCCCUUAGUCUUAAACCUACUAAACUGCAAUAAACUUUUCCUACACAGUUAUGGGUCUUUUUGUAUUGUCAUCCUAAACAGCAUUACUAAAAACACACACUAAGAUAUCUAUAGCCCAGUGUUCAAAAUCAAGAUAUUUACUGAGGAUACAAUAUCAAGGUAGGUAAUGCAAUUGAGUAAAAUGUUGCAGACCAAAAUCAAGCCCUCUAUUUGGCAAUACAUUAAAUUUGGUGCAUUACUGUAGACUUUAUGUAAAAUAUUGAUUCAUUUAUUACUUAGUAAUAUUUUGUAUUUUUAAAUUUUCAAUUGUGGUUGAAAAAAACACAUCUAAACCAUUUUUUUAAGUGUAAAGUUCAAUACUUAACUAUAUUCACAUUUUUGUACCUGGGGGUAUCUUGCAUGGUGGGAAAAAUUAAUUAAUUAAGACAAAUUCAAAAGAAAAAGAAUUAAAGAAAGUAAAGCUGAAUUAAGAUGCUACUUUUCUCAAAGCAUGUAUUAUGGAAACAUGUUUUAUGGAAACUAUUCCUAUAAGAUGUGCAAAGUAAAAGAGUGACAUGGUCAAAUAAUCUUUGGAAAUAUAGCAUGUUAUGUCCCUUUAUAAGAAAUUUAUAGACUUGUAUUUUAAAAACUCUGAGAAAUCAUAUUGGAAAGAUCUCUUUGAACUAUGUAUACUAGAGUUUCCUAAACAAUUUUUCCAUAGACUUUCCUCACCUAUUUCACAUAAAAAAUCUAUUUUUAUUCUUCAGGGCUAAUGUUUUAUUGAAUACAUUUUGGGAAACUUUCCUCUAACAGCACUUUUGCACAUUAAAAAAAAAAAGAUCUGUAAGGUACUAUUUAAGUUAUUUAUGUUAAAUGGUUCUGAAUUUACCAAUCCUUCAUCCUCAUUUUGUGGAUAUUAAUGGACAUCCAUUAAUUCAAUCACCCAGCAGAUAUUUACGGACAGUGCUAAAUGCUAGGAAAUACAGUAAUGAGUAAAUCAAUCUUAUCUUAUAGAGCUUAACGUCCAGGGGAAAAAAAUCACAAAGAGAGAGGGAGAGAGGAAAAA